rnacentral:lncRNA from 1 species
AUGACUCAGGGUCCCAAGAAGCGUGUAGCAGCUCCAAAACGUUGGAUGCUGGACAAAGUGACUGGUGUGUUUGUUCCUCGUCCAUCUACGUGGCCCCAGAAGCUGAGGGAAUGUUUCCCCCUAAUCAUUUUCUUAAGGAACAGACUUAAGUAUGCCCUAACAGGAGAUGAAGUAAAGAAGAUUUGCAUGCAGUAUUUCAUUAAGAUGGAUGGCAAAGUCCACACCGAUAUAACCUACCCUGCUGGUAUUAUGGAUGUAAUCAGCAUAGAUAAGACUGGAAAGAGUUUUCAUUUGAUCUACGACACCGAGGGUCGCUUUGCUGUUCAUCGUGUUACACCUGAGGAGGCCAAGUGUAAACUGUACAGUGAGAAAGAUCUUUGUGGGGACAAAAGGAGUCUCUCAUCCAGUGAUCCAUGAUGCUCGCACCAUCUGUUACCCUGAUCCCCUCCUCAAGGUGAAUGACACCAUCCAAAUUGACUUGGAGACUGGUAAGACUACUGAUUUCAUCAGAUUUGACACUGGUAACCUGUGCAUGGUGACUGGAGUUGCUAACCUGGGAAGAACUGGUGUGAUUACCAAUCCAGGUUCCUUUAACGUAGUUCAUGUGAAAGACGUGAAUGGCAACAGCUUUGCCACACGGCUCUCGAACAUCUUCCUUAUUGGCACAGGCAACAAAGCAUGUAUCUCCCUUCCCUGUGGAAAGGGUAUUCUACUUGCCACUGCUGAGGAGAGAGACCAGAGACUGGCAGCCGAACAGAGCAGGGGAUAA